CACUUUUCAGUGUGUCAUGCUCUGCCUGUGGGCAGGUGCACAGGAGGCCAGGAGGGAACAUGGCCAGGACAGGUGACCAGAACUAUCCUAAAGGAUGCUCCAUGGCACAGCAACUCAUUCCCAGUAUUUCAGCUGGAGGGAAUUGACUGUGAGGGGCCAAUUUCUGCCUGGGGAUGGACUGAGAAAAGAUGACCUACAUGGGCAGGAAAGGCUGCUUGUUGGACUAGAGAACAUUUGAAGAGGAAAUGCAAAGAGGGAGCAUCUGAGGACACCAGCUGGCUGUGCAUUAUUCUCCCUCCAUCAUCUGUACUUACAGACAAAUAAAAGAAGCCUUUGGGAAGAACUAAUGGUUUCUUUUAACCUUCAAGUGUUCCCCUUGGGAUAGUAUGACCCUUCUUUUUUAAAUCCCAUGCUUCCUGCUCUGAAGUUUUCAUGGCUACAGUACAGUUCCCACUAUACCAGGAUGUGUCUCAAAUCAUUCCAUCUCCAGAUCGAACAUCAGGCAUUUUUCUGCACCCCAAAUUCUCCUUGCUCUCUUGAUAUUAAGCUGGAAAUCUAAUAACAUUUUUUCACUUUUAAUCUUCGUGAAGUGCCUCCACUGCAAAAAGACAAUAAACCAUUGUGCUAGUAGUUUGAACAGUCAUUUGUCAUCCAUGGAGCAAUUAUGCUCAGAAAGAGCAGACAGAAUGGACUGCUUUCUGCUAACAGUGCAACACUGCUUUAGAGCAGAAACUACCCUCAACCAAGCCCAGCUAAUGUGUAUGUGUCAAAAAUGAUGUUUCUGAAGCAAAAUCUCAGGUACUUAAGGUAUUCCUAUUUCCUCCCCCAGACGUCUGCUUAAGCUGAUGAAUGAGAAACUGCCACUCUCUGGUAUAAUUAUUGUCUGAAACAAUAUUUGCUGAUAGCUGAAUGUCCUUAAUAUUGAUUACCUGGAAAGGUCAGAAUGAUUCCUUGGUAUUUUAUUAGCUUUAUAAAUAGAAAUGGCAAAGGCAAAACGUGAAAGGUAGCAAUGAGGAGAUUAAGUGGAAUUAAAAGUGUGAAAAUGGGAAAAGCAGUGAAGAUAUCUCAGGAAAAAAUAUCUGUGCAGAAUAGCAGGAAAAAUUUAUUCAUUUUACGGGAUGUAUACACAUAAUUAAAAUAAGUGUUAUGAGGAGUAAGAGAAUGCCAAGAGAAUUGAAAAUAUGCCACCAAGAAUAAUCAAGAAAAGGUCACAUUUUCACUUAGAUUUAGAUAGUAUCUUAGUUGCAUGCAUAAGAAAGAGACAAAAUGUGAUUGAAUUGAUGCAUGUAGCAGAACCACACAGGUUUUUGAGCUACAUGAAGUGCCACAGCUAUUGAAGUUAAAAUGAGAAUUUCAGUCAGCAGCAGCAUUUUAUACCCAAUAGUCAACAAUACUUUAGAAAUGGCUUAAGCCAUAAAUGAGCCUGUGUCCUGGUAACGGCCAGGGCAGGGUUGAUUCUUGCAGAAGCCAGGAGGGGCAUGGCCAGGACACAGAGGUUGUUUUACAGCAGCUCACAUCAUUGCCAAGGCAGGGAGAGGGGAGUUUCCCCAGGACACGGGGUUUCUUCUGCUCAGUGACUGUGGCAGAGGGAGUGCUUGGGUGGCCAGGGAAGUGUGGCUGUGGUUGGGUUGGGCCAGGCUCUGUGGUGACCAUUUUGCAUCUGAAUCACUCUCUCUCCUUUGUACACUUUUGUUAUUAAUAUUGUUCUUCUUACUGUUUGGUUUUUCAUCUCAUUGCUGUUUCCAGUACAUUUUUUCUUAUUUCAGCCUGUGACCUUCCCCUUUUGUGCCUCCAGUUCUCCUCUCCACCAAGGGGGAGGGAAAGUGGGUGAGCAGCAGGUUUGGAGAGCCUCAGUGGGAGCACUAAAUUGGGGAGUACCAUUCCUAAACCACAGCCUAAUAGCUCCUCCUGGUUCAUACCUUGUUCUCUCAUAAUUUUUUCUCUUUCUCAAAGUUGUCAUAUGCUGUCUGGAAAGCAUCCUGUUUUACCUCUAAGCAGGAAAAGUCCCAUGAGAUUUUCUGCUAAAUGGCAUUGCCAAAGUGCUGAAGACUUCAUGCUCAGAGGUCUGUGACCAUCGUAAUAUGCAGAUGAGAGUUCUUAGCAAUACACAAAGAGAGAAACAGUCACUGAUAGUUUUGCCGAGCCUGUUGUGUGUCACCACCAGCUGAAGUCCACUGCUACUGACCAAUUGUUCCUGUCAGUCGGGGAAAUAUAUUUGUUCUCUUUGUUGUUUUCAGAAAAGGUUGGAGAAGGAAAUCCUACUGUGAGGAUGCACAGCUGUCCCAGUUUACCUCACAAGCUGAAAGUAUUGCCACCUAAGGUAUCAUUCUGUUAUCAAUUAAGUUAUCAAGAUACAUCAAAUCACAUCUCAUUGUAUUGCCACUAAGCAAAACUAGGACCUAUUUACCACAAAGCAUGUACAUUUCUCAUGUUAUUGCCAAUUUUAAAAAUGAAAGAAGACAUACUCUGUAAGAUAUGAAGAAAUAGUUCUGAGAAACCAUCCCUCCAUGCCAAUAAAUUGUUUAUGCUGCUUUAAUUUACAUCAAAUGACAAGAUUGAAGCAAAGAAGCCUAAGUAUUGAUGGUGUUAGGAGACUCUUUUGGCCUAGUACUCUCUGUGAUAGCCUUUUUGCUAACGUGUAGUCAACACUCCAAAGGGAUUCCAGUUCUCUUACACCACUCCUAUCCUUUCUCACUAAUCUGGAAUAGGAGAACUGCAAAAAAGUCCCAAAACCCAAAGCCAAACUCUCCCCCUCUCUGACAGUGACACUCUCUUCUUUAAACUACAUUUAAAAAAAGAUUCAUUAAAUCUUUCCUUGAGAGAAACGACAUUUGGAUUAGGUUGUUAAUUUCAGUUUCUGUUGAAGAAAUUUCAGCUCACUUAAAUUUGGUGUUAUUUUUUACUGGUGGCUUUCUAGAUGUUUAUAAGCAAGUUUCCCCUUGAAAUUGCUAGAGGAGUGUGUGUGACUUCAGGAAAGCAGUGCAGAGGUGACAAAAAGAUCACGGUCCUACUUUGUUGGAAACUAAAUGCAACACCUCUCAUGUCAGCCUGUUCCUCAGAUUCCAGGAUGUUCCUCAGAUUCCAGGAUGUGAAUGGGUGCAAGAGAUCUGAGAUUCAGAGCAGAUCUUCAGCUGAGAGGGGAAGCAGAGAGAUGAAGGCUCUGGCAGGAAGUUUUUUCUGCCCAGUAGCAGGACUAUUUUUCCUUUUCUCCUUUCAAAGCCCUGCAGCUUCAGCUUUUGAAUCCUUUCAUGACUGGAGGAUCUCAAAUGGCACAAAUCAUCCAAGCAUGCCAUCUUACAUUUGCAUCAGGCUAGCUACUUAUCAACAGCCCUCUCAAAAUAUUAUUUUACCAUUGCAAUUAUCUAAGCUCCCUUAACAGAUCAGAGUGCAGCCAUCUGCUCUGCACUGGGCUAACCCUGAAGCCUAAGAAAAUGUUACAACUCAUAGAAAUCACAGCUGCUUAUUUACUUAAUCAUAUUAAAUGUAAAAUAUUAUCUUAGUUCUUUCCCAGAUGAACGAACUUCAUAUUGUUUUCUGGAAAAAUUUCAAGAUGUUUGUAUCAGACUUUGGAAAGCUGUGUUGGUGUUAAAUACCAAGAAGACUAUCACUGAUGAAAUUACAAUAUAAUGAAAGUAAUAUUCCCAAUUUCAUCACCAGGUGGUUGCUGCAGAUUUUUAUAAUUGUAAAGCCCUUGACUGGGCUUGAUUCAACCUUUAUGUAAAUAUUUGAUAGAACUAGAAAUUUACUGAAGGGCGUAAUGAAAGGUUUACAUUUUCAAACGCUUGUGCUUUAGAGAGAACUACUUAUAUGAAUAUUUAUUUUUUGAUAACAUUUGGUUUUAUAUUUAUUUUGGGGAUAAAUGACCAGUUCAUAUGCAGUUUGAUAUAUGUACAUGAAAAUCAGUAAAAUGUACACUUACUGCAAGUAAAUUGAAGAAUCUUGAGGUAGUGUAUUUUCUCAACUAAAUUAACAUUAACUAAAAAUUAAAUCCUUAGUUUCAAGUUACUCUAAUGAAUUAAAAACAACAGGCAAUGUAUAGCUGGACAGUAAACUCUUGAAAAAUGUCAAAGAGUUUACAUUUGGAUAUUUAAAUUCACUGGAGGUAAAGUAAGAACUUUUUUCUAAGAAACUUGAACACAAAUUACAAGAAGUUAAGUAUAUCAAAUGUUUAAAGAGGCAGUAUUAAUUCUCAGAUAUUCCUCCCUGGUUCUUUCUAUACACUGUUGUUUUCUUGUCCUGAGUCAGACUUUUGGCAUAAAUGCAAAUCUGUAAACUAAGAAGUAUCAUGACACAUAUUUGGAAAUAAGAAUUCUUUGUCUCAAGUAUUGCUUCUUUACAUUGAUGGGCUUUCAAGGGUGACUCCUGACCAAAGUGAAAAUGAUAAACAACAGUCCUAAAAUCAAAGCAGUUUUCUUUCCAUCCCAUUCCCUUGUUGAAUUACUUUUGCUCUUACUGUUUUCCCACUACUAUCUCUACAUUUCCUAAUGUAACUGUCUUUAAAAAUGUUGUGCCUGUUUUGAGUCACAUUUUACUGAAAAUAACACUUUCUACACCUGUCAGAGUCAGACAGCACCUCAAUUUUUGACAAUGCUUUCUUGUUCAAAAUGUGGUUUGACAGGUGUAUCAGACAGGGACUAAAGCCAAAGGCACCACUGUAGGAGAAUAAUUUCUGAGCCACUGAGGAUAAGUGCUAAUCACAGCCUCUGAAGGAACAGAUGGAGUCUAUUUAGUGUCAUCUGACAGCCUAACAUUAGCUCAGACAAAUUUCUUAACCUGACGAGUGGCCAAAAUAAAGAUGACAGUGUUCAGGUGUUACAAUUUGUUGAACAAAGGUGUACCUAAGUUCACAGUGCUGUGGGACUCAGAGUAUUAACUGUGCCUAGCUCUGCUUUUGGAUUGUGAACAAAUGCUGCUUUGUUUAGCAGAGAGCAAGGUUUGUGACUUGAAGCCAGACAUAGUCUGUGCUAAAGAAAUACUGGAAUACAGAAGGCAGAAGAUAUUGGAGAUCCAUUCAAGGAUUUAGCUACUCAAAGACACAUCACAGCUCUUCAGGGGUAUGUUUUUGCAGGUAGCUACUACAAAUGGUCUGAGAACAGUUACAUUCUCUCUGCUUUGUCAGCAACUCAGCCUAGUUUAUUCUUUUGUGUAAUAAAGACUGGUGUGGUCA